CACGCAGAUUCCCCUGACAGAGAAAGUUGAUCCUGGUAUUCCUUGGUACACUGAGGGCAGUCACUUAGAUAGCUUCCAGGGGUGAGAAAAGAGAGGGACCCCCCACAAAGGCCCCCACAACAGGUCUUGAAAAGGGGACUUACUCCCUGAGUGUCAAUCACCCCCACACGGACUGACUGGAGCUGCACUUUGGGUUUAGCUGGGCCUCUAGGUACAACUAUGUAAGCUCAGCACUUGACAGUGGGGGGGGUCCAGUGUUCAGGGGUAGCCUCAGCUAUACAGAGAGGGCAACUGGGAUACAAGAGAUUCCCUCUCAAAAGAAACAACGCACACCUUUGGAUGUGGAACCCAGACUAGAGUGACUGUGUGGGUUGUCCGAGGUGGCUAUGAGAAGGAUCUGAGGCCUCGGGAUGGUGGACAGCUUCCUAGUAGUGGGGAGGGCGCACCACAGGGGGACUGAACAGCCAAACUGAACCAAAGGGCAGAGCCUGUUCUUUCACAGUACCUACAGUCACAAAAGCAUUCCCCCUCAGAGCAGAGCGGAGCACGCCCUUUUUACACAGAGUGCUUCUGUGAACAGCCUCCUUGAGCAAGAGGUUACCUCUCACUCCCUAAACCACCGCCACCUUGGUCCCACCCCGCCAUGGCAGCACUGUUCCCAAGCUGCUGGAACUGUGAAAAUGGAGUCCCCUGGAGAUUCUCCCUUAUCUGUGAUGCCUUGUCUGUCAGGCAGCCUGUCUGCUGGGACCCACAGUUAAUGAACCUCCUUCUUUGACCACUGACAGAGGAACCCCGACAUCAUCUAACAGUCUCUGAGAUGUCCAGGUCUAAGAUGACUCAAAGGCUUGGUUCCCGCCACCCAUACUGGGCAGCUCAGGACUCGAGGAACAGCAGUUCCAGCGGCGUCUGGCAUCUCCUUCACUGCCAUCGACACUCAUGUGCACACACACUCCUACAGAAACACACGAGGCAUACGAUAAACAAAGUAAACCUUUAAAACCCCACAUUAAGUUCUACUGGUUUCUCUAUGUAGUCCUGGCUGUCCUGGAACUCCCUCUGUAAACCAGGCUGGCCUUGAACUCAGAGAUCCUUGAGUGCUUGGAGCAAGGCAUGUGCCACGGUACUCCACUGCCAGGCUUGCUGGCUUGUUUCCAGACAGAGUCUCUCUAUGUAGCUCUGGUUGGCCUUGAACUCCAAACUGGUCUCCAACUCCCUCCACCUGCCUUCGCUUCCCAAACGCCUGGACCAAUGGCAUAUGCUACUAUGCCCAGCCCAUAGGUUAUCUUCAAGAGCUCUUUGUUAUUUUCCUUUUAAAACAAUGGAUCUUCGGGGUUGGGGAUUUAGCUCAGUGGUAGAGCGCUUGCCUAACAAGCACAAGGCCCUGGGUUCAGUCCCCAGCUCCGAAAAAAAGAACAAAACAAAACCUUGGAUCUUCAUUGGAUGUGUGCUGUGAAUAGAUUAACGAUAUGUGUAAAGGACUCUAGCAGUGUUCCUGAAACCGUACCACUCAAGCGCAAAGUGCAAGUCAAAUUUUUUUUUUCGGAGCUGGGGACCGAACCCAGGGCCUUGUGCUUGCUAGGCAAGAGCUCUACCACUGAGCUAAAUCCCCAACCCCUCAAGUCAAAUUUUAUAUUAAGAUUUUAACCACAAUGGGGCUGGAGAGAUGGCUCAGAGGUUAAGAGCGCUGACUGCUCUUCCAGAGGUCCUGAGUUCAAUUCCCAGCAACCACAUGGUGGCUCACAAGCAUCUGUCAUGGGAUCUGAUGCCCUCUUCUGGUGUGUCCGAAGACAGCUACAGUGUACUCAUAUACAUAAAAUUUCUUAAAAGUUUAAAAAUGAAUAAAUAAAAAUAAAAAUUAACUUCAA